rnacentral:rRNA from 1 species
AUUAACGCUGGCGGCGUGCAUGAGACAUGCAAGUCGAACGGACGGGCGAGCUUGCUCGCCCGUUAGUGGCGGACGGCUGAGUAACGCGUGGGUGACCUGCCCCGAAGUGGGGAAUAACUGCCCGAAAGGGUGGCUAAUACCGCAUGUGGUGACUGGUUCGUUCCAGUCUCCAAAGCCGCAAGGCGCUUCGGGAGGGGCCUGCGUCCGAUUAGCUCGUUGGUGGGGUAACGGCUCACCAAGGCGACGAUCGGUAGGUG